rnacentral:rRNA from 1 species
UAAUACUAGCGGUCCAAGUCGCAGCCAUUUUUAUUGGGUCUAAAACAUCCGUAGCUUGCUUGGUAAGUUCUUUGUGAAAUUUUAUCUCUUGAAGAUAGAGCGUGCAAGGAGUACUGCCGAGCUAGAGACUGGAAGAUGUAGGAAGUAUGUUCAAAGUAGCGGUAAAAUGUGUUAAUCUUGAACAGACUCACAAUAGCGAAGGCAUCCUACAAGGACAGUUCUGACAGUAAGGGAUGAAGGCUAGGGGCGCAAAACGGAUUAGAUACCCGUGUAGUCCUAGCAGUAAACACUGCACACUAAACAUCAGUACCUCCUCGAGAGGUGUUGGUGCUGUAGGGAAGCCGAAGAGUGUGCUACCUGGGAAGUAUAGCCGCAAGGCCG